UACAGAGGGUGCGAGCGUUGUUCGGAAUUAUUGGGCGUAAAGGGCGCGUAGGCGGUGCGGUAAGUCACCUGUGAAAUCUCCUGGCUCAACCUGGAGACGCCACCCGAUACUGCUAUAGCUUGAGUCCGGUAGGGGAGCGUGGAAUUCCUGGUGUAGCGGUGAAAUGCGCAGAUAUCAGGAGGAACACCAGCGGCGAAGGCGGCGCUCUGGGCCGGUACUGACACUGAGGAGCGAAAGCGUGGGGAGCAAACAGG
rnacentral:rRNA from 1 species